UUUAGUUCCUUUUUAAAAAUCACACUUGGGUCAUUAUCAAUGCUUUUUGCAAGCAUCAGCUCUUUCUGGGUUUUAAUUUGAUGUAAUUCAUUAGUCUUUCUGACACACCUUACAGGUUUGCACCACUCUCUGAAACUGCCCUUGAUUGAGUAACCUCCUUGUUCACUUUUCUGACUUAUUCUUCUAAAACCUGAGCUCUCCAGUGAUUUGGGAGAUUUACCCUCAUUGGUGACUUGAAGUUUCUUCUUCUUAUCUUCUUUGCUAGAAUAACUUCUUGUUAAACAAUCAGAACUCAUUGUGUUUCCUCUCUUCUUCCUGAAUCCUAUUGGCUUUUAUACAUUUUAGGAGCAGAAUUGAACUAAAGAAUAAAAACAUGUAUUUUUCAUGGGAAAUUUUCUCUUGGUCCUUUUAUUGACUUUGAAAAUGGAAAGAAAAGAAUGAGAAAGAAAAGAAAAGAAUAGCAAAGUAAAGAAAAAAUUCUUUUUAAAAAGCCCAUAGUUAAUGAUUAUGAAUCUACUAUAAAUUUCUUAUUAAGUUCUCUUUAAGCUCUACUGUAGAUACAUGAUCCCAUUUUGGUUUUUCAUAUUUGAGUCAAUAGACCAUAACUUUAAAUGUGUAAUUUUCCCCAGAGUAGUGGAAAGCUCAAUUCCAUAUUACCAGUAUUAUUUUGCAAUCAGACUUCUAGAUUUAAGUUGUACCGGGGUGAAAUUAUGAUGUAAGAUUUAGCAAGCAGAAGUGAAGUGCAGGGCACCAACUUUUGUUCCAAAUGGAAGGAAGUUUGGAGGUCUAAGUACAAUUAUUAUAUUCUGUCUGGAUUAAUUUCCUAUGUCUAGUUACCAGCUUUUAAAAUAGAAAGAUCACCGUGAUUGUAGCAGUAGUUUAAUUACCAGGGACCGUGGUACAGCAAACACAUCAUGUUUCAUGCCUACAUCUCAGUAAUUCCAAAUGCAGUGAGCUUGGGAUGAAUGAAUGAAGUGAUCAGUGUUCUCUCCUUCUCAUCCUGCAGUUAUCCUGCCCAUUCCUAAGCAUCUAAUUUCCAAUAUUCAAUUCCUUUGUGUUUAAAAUCUUAGUUUCUACGAUCUGCCCUGAACACUGGCAUUCAAUGAGUUUUCAAACUCAGCACUGAUUACUACUUAUUUCUAGAAACUCUGUUUUGUUAUUUUGAAAUUCAUCGUUUUCCCAAAUGUUCUGUUCUUUUCUUAGGAAUUCUUUUUAUAUUGACAUACACAGUCAUUUUUAAGAGGUAUUUUGUUGUAUUACCACCUAAAAGAGUUGUAUGUAUUUUAUAGGUAGCAUGCUCUUUCAUUUCUGCUGCUGUUUUCUCUGGCUUACCUUCUGGGUGUGCUGAGAUGGAGAGCAGCGGAGUGGACAGUGACACGCGUCUCUACCGCACCUAAUCCUGUUGAAUCUCUCCCGCACCUAAUCCUGUUGAGUCUCUCCAUCAGUGGCACGUCCUUGUGGCCCUCAGGAGGUCACGGGUGAGUUCUGCAGGCCCACUCAGGAGCCUCUCACUGCACAAUUCCGUAACUGGUGGGUCUGCUGGGGGCGCCAUGGCUCCCAGUUCCUCUCAGCUCCAGCCUCCCCUCUGUGGUUGGAAGCUCACUCACUACAGGCUCCUUCGUUACAUGCUGGUUCCAGCAACGUGGUUCAGGUCUCCUGGUUCAUGGGAAAUCUCUGCUUGGUCAUGUGGAAACAGCCCAGGUCACUCCGUGACUGUCCCAUGGACAUCUUGCUCCAGCUCUGGAGCCUGUCUGCUCACACCGGCACCAGGGGCGAGUCAGCGAAACUGAGAGGCCAGCAGAUGUUGACAAUGGCAGGAGACCCUGGACUUCUCAUUGUGCAGACGUGGUGACUUUUCUGGAAUUCCACUUGCGUGUUUUUUUGUUUUGUUUUGUUUUUGAGGCGGAGUCUCGCUAUUUUGCCCAGGCCGGACUGCAGUGGCGCGAUCUCGGCUCACUGCAAGCUCCGCCUCCCGGGUUCGGCCAUUUUCCUUCCUCAGCCUCCCGAGGAGCUGGGACUACAGGCUCCCGCCACCACGCCCGGCUAAUUGUUUGUAUUUUCAGUAGAGACGGGGUUUCACCGUGUUCGCCAGGAUGGUCUCGAUCUCCUGACCUCGUGAUCCACCCACCUCGGCCUCCCAAAGGGCUGGGAUUACAGGCGUGAGCCACCGCGCCCGUGUUUUGAGGAGGAAGGUCAGAGCAAGGCGCCUCCCCGGACAGAAGAAGUGCGAGACGCAGCCCCUCCCGCAGCAGACUGAGUCUCACUCUGUCGCCCAGGCAGGAGUGCAGCGCUGCGCUAUCUCGGCUUACUGCUGGCACGCGAUCUCGGCUUAUUGCAAACUCAGUCUCCUGCUCAGUCUCCUGGGUUCACACCAUUCUCCUGCCUCAGCCUCCCGAGUAGCUGGGACUACAGGUGCCCACCACCACGCCG
rnacentral:lncRNA from 10 species